rnacentral:rRNA from 1 species
AUUGAACGCUGGCGGCAUGCCUUACACAUGCAAGUCGAACGGCAGCACGGGUGCUUGCACCUGGUGGCGAGUGGCGAACGGGUGAGUAAUAUAUCGGAACGUACCUUAUUGUGGGGGAUAACGCAGCGAAAGCUGUGCUAAUACCGCAUAAUCCCUAAGGGGGAAAGCGGGGUACCGUAAGGCCUCGCGCAAUUAGAGCGGCCGAUACCUGAUUAGCUAGUUGGUGAGGUAAAGGCUCACAAAGGAAACGAUCAGUAGCUGGUCUGAGAGGACGCUAGGCCACGCGGGGACGCAGACACGGCCCAGACUCCUACGGGAGGCCGCAAGGGGGAAUUUUGGACAAUGCGGGCAACCCUGAUCCAGCAAUGCCGCGUGAGUGAAGAAGGCCUUCGGCUUGUAAAGCUCUUUUGUCAGGGAAGAAACAGCAGCUCCAACACAGUUUGCGAAUGACGGUACCUGAAGAAUAAGCACCGGCUAACUACGUGCCAGCAGCCGCCGUAA